GACGAACGCUGGCGGCGUGCUUAACACAUGCAAGUCGAACGAUGGUGCUGGAGCUUGCUCCAGUUGAUUAGUGGCGAACGGGUGAGUAACACGUGAGCAAUCUGCCCUUGACUCUGGGAUAACUGCGGGAAACUGUAGCUAAUACCGGAUACUUUCACCGGAAGGCAUCUUCUGGUGAUGAAAGAAUUUCGGUCAGGGAUGAGCUCGCGGCCUAUCAGCUUGUUGGUGAGGUAACGGCUCACCAAGGCGACGACGGGUAACCGGCCUGAGAGGGUGACCGGUCACACUGGGACUGAGACACGGCCCAGACUCCUACGGGAGGCAGCAGUGGGGAAUAUUGCACAAUGGGCGCAAGCCUGAUGCAGCAACGCCGCGUGAGGGAUGAAGGCCUUCGGGUUGUAAACCUCUUUUAGCAGGGAAGGAGCGAAAGUGACGGUACCUGCAGAAAAAGCACCGGCUAACUACGUGCCAGCAGCCGCGGUAA
rnacentral:rRNA from 1 species